rnacentral:rRNA from 1 species
ACCGUACUCCUACGGGAGGCAGCAGUGGGGAAUAUUGGACAAUGGGCGCAAGCCUGAUCCAGCAAUGCCGCGUGGGUGAAGAAGGCCUUCGGGUUGUAAAGCCCUUUUGUACGGGAAGAAAUGCUGUUGGUUAAUACCCGGCGGGGAUGACGGUACCGUAAGAAUAAGCACCGGCUAACUUCGUGCCAGCAGCCGCGGUAAUACGAAGGGUGCAAGCGUUAAUCGGAAUUACUGGGCGUAAAGCGUGCGUAGGCGGUUGGCUAAGUCAGAUGUGAAAGCCCUGGGCUCAACCUGGGAAUGGCAUUUGAGACUGGCCGGCUAGAGUGUGAUAGAGGAGGGCAGAAUUCCAGGUGUAGCGGUGAAAUGCGUAGAGAUCGGGAGGAACACCCGUGGCGAAGGCGGCCAUCUGGAUCAACACUGACGCUGAGGCACGAAAGCGUGGGGAGCAAACAGGAUUAGAAACCCCUGUAGUCCUUGAC